rnacentral:rRNA from 1 species
GCUAACUACGUGCCAGCAGCCGCGGUAAUACGUAGGGUGCGAGCGUUAAUCGGAAUUACUGGGCGUAAAGCGUGCGCAGGCGGUGCUGUAAGACAGGCGUGAAAUCCCCGGGCUCAACCUGGGAAUGGCGCUUGUGACUGCAGUGCUGGAGUGCGGCAGAGGGGGAUGGAAUUCCGCGUGUAGCAGUGAAAUGCGUAGAUAUGCGGAGGAACACCGAUGGCGAAGGCAAUCCCCUGGGCCUGCACUGACGCUCAUGCACGAAAGCGUGGGGAGCAAACAGGAUUAGAUACCCUUGUAGUC